AACGAACGCUGGCGGCGUGCCUAACACAUGCAAGUCGAGCGCGAAUGGGAGCAAUCCCUAGUAGAGCGGCGCACGGGUGCGUAACACGUGGGUAAUCUGCCUCGAAGACCGGGACAACCUGCCGAAAGGCUGGCUAAUACCGGAUGAGACCCCGGGAGCUUCGGCUCCCGAGAGAAAGGGUGGCCUCUGCAUGCAAGCUAUCACUUCGAGAUGAGCCCGCGGCCCAUCAGCUAGUUGGCGGGGUAAUGGCCCACCAAGGCGACGACGGGUAGCUGGUCUGAGAGGACGAUCAGCCACACUGGAACUGAGACACGGUCCAGACUCCUACGGGAGGCAGCAGUGGGGAAUUUUGCACAAUGGGCGCAAGCCUGAUGCAGCAACGCCGUGUGUGUGAUGAAGGUCUUCGGAUUGUAAAGCACUUUCGACCGGGACGAAACCCGGAUGCCCAACACGCAUCCGCUUGACGGUACCGGGAGAAGAAGCACC
rnacentral:rRNA from 1 species